CCUACGGGUGGCAGCAGUGAGGAAUAUUGGUCAAUGGGCGAGAGCCUGAACCAGCCAAGUCGCGUGAGGGAGUACUGCCCUAUGGGUUGUAAACCUCUUUUGUCGGGGAGCAAAAGCCGGACGUGUCCGGCUGUGAGAGUACCCGAAGAAAAAGCAUCGGCUAACUCCGUGCCAGCAGCCGCGGUAAUACGGGGGAUGCGAGCGUUAUCAGGAUUUAUUGGGUUAAAAGGGUGCGCAGGCGGAUUUUUAAGUCAGCGGUAAAAUCGUGGGGCUCAACCCCAUCCAGCCGUUGAAACUGGGGAUCUAGAGUGUGCGAGAGGUAUGCGGAAUGCGUGGUGUAGCGGUGAAAUGCAUAGAUAUCACGCAGAACCCCGAUUGCGAAGGCAGCAUACCGGUGCACAACUGACGCUCAGGCACGAAAGCGUGGGUAUCGAACAGGAUUAGAUACCCCUGUAGUC
rnacentral:rRNA from 1 species